rnacentral:rRNA from 1 species
GACGUAGGGUGCGAGCGUUGUCCGGAUUUAUUGGGCGUAAAGAGCUCGUAGGCGGCUCGUCGCGUCGACCGUGAAAACCCGCGGCUUAACUGCGGGCUUGCGGUUGAUACGGGCGGGCUAGAGUUCGGUAGGGGGAGACUGGAAUUCCUGGUGUAGCGGUGAAAUGCGCAGAUAUCAGGAGGAACACCGGUGGCGAAGGCGGGUCUCUGGGCCGUUACUGACGCUGAGGAGCGAAAGCGUGGGGAGCGAACAGG